ACAAACCCAAAAAUCAGAAAAAUAGCUCCAAGACUUUGAAUUACAAAUUUUCUCUUAUUAUAAGUCUAAGUCAACAACUAGAAGAACCAAAGUCUUCUUCUUCAUCUUCCUUGUCGUAUGUACCUGCACACUUGGCAAACACCAUGUUUGCCAGAUAAUAAAACUUUUGACUCCUCCUUCACCAAUUUAAGCCAACACACAACCCAUGAGAGCCAUUGUAUUUCAAUUCUACUGGUUUUACCCACUGGUUCUCCUUCUCCUCUCUAUGUCCAUUGUUUUCCGAUAAAACCACCAAUAAUAGCUCAUGGAUGACGUUUUUACACCCCUCUAAAGAUCUAUAAAUAGCUUACUGAUUCACCAAUUCAAUUCGCAACCAAAACUAACAUCUUAUUCCAUUAUCACCAUUAGAAAGGGUGAAGUUUUCUUACUUUAUUAAUCUGAUUUGCUCUUGAGCCACCACCAUCGCAGCCGCCCCUUUCUCGGUCUUUGUUUACCACCGGAAACCACCAACAAGAAACACCAAUUUAAUGGAGACCACAAAAACGACCACCCACGUCAACCCUUGCCGCCUUCUCGGUCUUCAUUGCAUCUAACCCCCCUGCCUUUCUCUCACUUCUCCGCCCCAGCCAACAACCACCAGUGUCGGCCUUCGUCGGUGUUUUGCUCCGUUGUUCACCGCCGGUCGUGGGUCAUACCCAGUUGCCGCCUCUCUUCCUCCUCCCUCUCUUGUCUUCUGAUCCCCUCUGAUCCGUGUUCUGUUCGUGAAGACCAGGUUGGUCUUUGAAACUUUUUCCCCCAAUUGGAGUUAUAUGGUACAACUGUACUGUAUGAUGCACCUAAAUUACAAAAGUCAACUUUGUUCCUUUUACCCACCAAAAUCAAAUUGAUAUUAUCAGUUUUCGAAGCUCGGGAAGAACGGUCCAUCAAACGGGAAGUAUAAAACUACGGUUGAGGUACGAAGAAGAUAAUGGGAUGCCUUAGAGUGAGGAUGCAACCAUCAAAUUCACGAUCGAUGUUUAGUAAAGAUAACUAUGUCUCACUAGUAAUAAUGGAUGUAUUAACUAAAUUCUAAGUUUAAUUUCAAGUAUUGAGUUAGAUUUUAAUAUUAAUGUUUAAUCAAUGCUAGAAGUCGUUAUUAUUAAAGUUUAUUUAGUAAUUUAAAAAGAUUAAGUCGCCUUGUAUUUCCCACGAGGGAGAUACGGCAUGUGACGCUCCAACUAAAUUAGGGUUUCCGCUGCUAAUUAAAGAUAAUUAACCUAAUUAAUAGUGUUUAGAAGUCGGGGCGUUACAGUUUGGUAUCAGAGCCAAGGUUCUGCGACCAUAAGUGCUAAACCUUACGGGUUUUGCAUGAAAUAAAAUUCAUUCGGCUUUAAGCAGGAAUUUUAAGGAAUAAGUUAAAAAGAAUAUGUUAAAAUCAACUUAAGUUAAAAUGGAAUGAGUGUGAGCGUAGGAACGGGAUUAAAGGGAUUCAUUUCUCCUGUUAUUUAUGUUUUCUUGAUUGAAUAUGUUAUGCGAAAUAUCGAUUAUCGUUGGUACUAACGAUGCCACGAACGAAGCUCACAACAUGUGCAACAUUCACGAUGACGCCACCACUAGUAUUAUUUUAAUUUAUCUCUAUCUCGCUUUGGAUCCGAACUUCCCUUGUUUUCAUGUUUAACAUGUCAUGUUAUGAGUUCCUACCAUAGAUAGACUAGGAAAAGUUUAAGCAUUACUGUUUUCUUGGAAGAAGUUAAGUUAAGCACGGUGCGAACACAAAGAUUUUGUGGAUAUGAAUUGUUUUGAGGAAUUUUUAUGGUUGUAAUCUUUAAGGGUAGUAUAAAUGUUUAAGUACCAAACGAGCAUAAGGUUGUAUUUCAUGAGUGCUGGAUCGCUAAUUAAGUUGAGGUUAUUCUAGGUUUAAAGUACGUAUUCAAGUUAUGAAUGAAAUUGAUUCUAGGGUUACCUUCCCGUAUUAUUCAUGAUGAAUAUUUAGGUGUUUAUAAGUACAAAAGUCUAUUAUCUAAAAGAAGACCGAUAUGCCUCUAUUUAGGAAGUUAAGAAGUUAUACAGAAAUGUUAUGAACCCAACAUAAGUUAUGAUAAAAGACCCAUUUGAGUUGACGCAUGAAUAAGAUCUUGAGGAUUUUACCAAAAGAAGUUACCAAGAAAAGUAUGUCAAUAAGGCUGAAUGAUAGAGUGCUGAAAGAGCAUGAGUUUGUAUUUUAUAAGUGGCGAAUCACCAAUUAAAUCAAGGGUAUUCAAAGUUUAAAGCGUUCAAGUUAUGAUUGAUUUUUGAGUUACCUUCCCGCACCCUUCACGAUAAUUAUUUUUGUGCUUGCAAGUACCUAAGUGUAUUUUCAGAUAUGUUAAGGAAGCUAAACUAGGAAUUUUCAAAGUUAUGCAAGACUAUUAUGCGAAACCAAACACGAUUUAUGGUGAAAACAUGAAAUUGAGUUGCAUAUAAAGCUUUGAGGAUUCUACCAAAAUGAGUUAUCAAGAAUUAGUCUGUCUAUCACUACUACAAAAAUGGGCAAAGAGACCCGUCCAAAACGGCAUAAGAUACCUCCUCUAAGGGGGUCUCUAGAUGGGGGGGUCUCUUUUUAAAAGAGACCCCCUCUUAGAAAUGGGGUCUGUUUGUUAAAAGUUGGAGACCCUUCAUGUAAGAAAAGGGGUCUCUUACGUAGGCCUUUAGGAAAAUAUUUUAGAAGAGAAAGAGACCCCAUAUGUAAGAUAUGGGGUCUGUUUAUUAAAAAUAUUCAGACCCAAUAUGUAAGAUAUGGGGUCUCUUUGAUUUUUUUAUUAAUUUAUUUUUUAAUAACCUCAGACCCCAUAUGUAAGAUAUGGGGUCUCUUUGAUUUUUUUUAUUAAUUUCUUUUCUAAUAACCUCAGACCCCAUAUGUAAGAUAUGGGGUCUCUUUGAACUUUUUAGUAUUAUACCUAAAGAGCCCUUUUUACGAAUAACGGGUCUCCUUUUCAUGUUUUUUUUUUUUAAAAAAAAUGUUAAUUCAGUACCUGCUGCUGUAAUAUUUUUUUAAUAAUUCAACAAUUGUAAUUUGUAAACCUGCUGUAAUCUUUACAUGCUAAUAACCUGUAAUUUUUCAUUCACCGAUUGUAUUAAACCACCUGCUGCUGUAAUAUUUUAUAAUAAUUCAAUAAACAUUUCUUAAUAGUCCAUAUUACCAAAAAAAAAUAUUUACCAAAAGUAAUGCUCAAAACGCAACUUUACAUUAAUUUGUAAUUUCCAAAUUAAAAACGUAAAACAAAACGUACGUUCUAAAAUCUAAUCAUAUAUUUACACCGAUUUGCCAAUCAAAACUCACGGAGUUAUUUCUAUACCAUCAUCUUUGUUUUCUUCAUUUGCUUCUGGCUUGAGAAAAUACUCGACCCACAUGUCUCUAACUUCAUCAACAUUUUCCGAUGAAUAGGUUUCGUGAGAAAACUGUAAAUAAGUAACAUAAUUAGUAUUUUAGUAAACGCAUAGUUGUAGCAAAUGCAUAGUUCAUUAUAGGAAAGAAAAUGAAACUGCUACAACAAUUCAUAACAGAAGCCUAGUAUUCUUUAUCGUGUAUGAAUGUAAGUACGAAGGUAUUAUAUCAAGGCAAUCUAACUAGCUAAGACCUGCCCAGCUACGCUUCUUAGGUAAUGAUAAUGGAAUGGUACAAGUAACUAUAUUAGGCAGGUUAAGCUAAAUGAAAAUCUAAAAUUGGAAAUAAAUGGCAUAAACAAGGUAAAUGGUGCAGUUCAGGAAAUGGUAUAGAGGUCAAAGAAUAAAUAGUUUUCCAGUUACAAAUACUAACUAAUACCAAUUUGAGAUUAAACAAAAGAUACCAGGUUCUAAGCUUAACCAAUCCGGCCAUCUGCCAAUAGUUCGGCUCACGGGCAAAUACCAGAUGCAGAAAUGCAGAUUUACAAGCAAAACUAAAAUCAUGCCAGAAUAAUCAGCAAAUAUGCCAACAAGGUGACACGAUCCUUCAGAAAAUACGAUUAAAGAGUAUAAUUUAAAUUCGUCUCUAAACUCCUACCAAAAUUUUAACCUGGGACAUCCCACAACACACUUUAGUGAUGUUCCCAGAAUAGAGAGUAAAAAUGGAAAGACAACAAACAGUGACUUGCCCAAAUCUGGACAGACAAAACAUCUUACCUCAAAGCAAAAACACCAGAUGUACUGAAAUGAUCUAUGAAAUAACUAACUAACUAACUUUACCAGCUGUACUGAAAUGAUCUAUGAAACUAACUAACUAACUGACUUUACCAGCUAGGACAGAGUUUGCAGACUGCAAGAUGUUCACAGCAAAUUUUUUUGCUCGAAUGCUAGGCUCUUGCUCGAGCUUAGAUCAGGAAAUGUUUAUCAGGACUGCUCCUGACUAUAUAUAAGAAAAAAGUAUCUAAGGUCCUUAAUCAUACAUCUUUCGCUUUUUUGGGUUUGAUUAGAUACGUAUAUGUCAAUCGGAUAAUGAUUUUGCGUUUGAUAUUAAUCUCAGAAGUUUGUUUUGUAAUAAACCACUUCUAUACAGUAUUAGUCAAUGCGCGCUUGAGUUUCAAAACCCUCAAUCAUUGACACUAUUAAUCAACUGUUAAUCUGCGUUUUGUCUGAUCUCUUUUGCUUGUCCGCUCUGUAAUCAGAGUUCUCAACCUAAUUGAUCCCAGCACAUUUCUAGUUCUCUUCUUUUCUCUGGUAUCCUAUUAUUUACAGCUCUGUAAAAGCUAACUGUGAUUGGAAAUUGAAGCAACAGAGAACGGUUUUACCUUUAUAUCUAUUUGUAACUUUGUAAGGAUAGCCAUCUAGUACGGAGUAAGUAAAUUUCCAGAUAAAAUAAAGGAUAGAUUUAGAUUUAGGCAUCUGAGAAUAAAUGUGUAAAAAUUUUCCGAAUUUGAGAGGUAUUUCAUCUGU